rnacentral:rRNA from 1 species
AAGGAAUAUUGGACAAUGGUGGCAACACUGAUCCAGCCAUGCCGCGUGCAGGAUGACGGCCCUAUGGGUUGUAAACUGCUUUUGUACGGGAAAAAACCCUCGUUCGUGAACGAGGCUGAUGGUACCGUAAGAAUAAGGAUCGGCUAACUCCGUGCCAGCAGCCGCGGUAAUACGGAGGAUCCAAGCGUUAUCCGGAUUUAUUGGGUUUAAAGGGUGCGUAGGCGGAUUAAUAAGUCAGUGGUGAAAGCCUGCAGCUUAACUGUAGAAUUGCCAUUGAUACUGUUAGUCUUGAGUAUAUUUGAAGUGGGCGGAAUGUGCAGUGUAGCGGUGAAAUGCUUAGAUAUUGCACAGAACACCGAUUGCGAAGGCAGCUCACUAAACUAUAACUGACGCUGAGGCACGAAAGUAUGGGGAUCAAAC